UAACAACAUUAUUAUAGAUGGAACUAUGUACAUGUGAGGGCAAGAGAACAGCCUUGUUAUCAGACAAAAUGUCAUCAGUACAAGAAGCAGACACAGAACAUGCAGAAGUAGAUGAACAACUAAUAGAGGAAGAAGGGGAAGAUAUCAUCAUUACAAGAAGCAGACAGAACAAACAGAAGUAGAGGAACAACUAAUAGAGGAAGAAGGGGAAGGAGGAACCCAAGCCAGUUUAUAUAAGCCAACAACUUCUCUACCAAGAUCCAGAGGCCUCCUCAGAGAAGGGUCCUGUAUCAUGUGGAGUAAGCAGGAAUUUCAGUGAAAAAAACUACACAAUGCAACUGGUUCACUAACUUGUGGACAGAAAUCGAGUUGUGUUUAAAGGAAG
rnacentral:lncRNA from 1 species